rnacentral:rRNA from 1 species
GACGAACGCUGGCGGCGCGCUUAACACAUGCAAGUCGAACGGAAAGGCCUGCUUUCCCUUGUGGAUUGCGGGUACUCGAGUGGCGAACGGGUGAGUAACACGUGAGUGAUCUGCCCCCAACUUGGGUAUAAGCCUGGGAAACUGGGUCUAAUUCCCGAUAGGACUGCAGGGUGGUGCCUGUGGUGGAAAACGAUUUUCUAGUGGUUGGGGAUGAGCUCGCGGCCUAUCAGCUUGUUGGUGGGGUAAUGGCCUACCAAGGCGGCGACGGGUAGCCGGCCUGGGAGGGUGGACGGCCACAUUGGGACUGAGAUACGGCCCAGACGCCUACGGGAGGCAGCAGUGGGGAAUAGUGCACAAGGGGCGGAAGCCUGAUGCAGCGACGCCGCGUGGGGGAUGACGGCCUUCGGGUUGUAAACUCCUUUCGACCGCGAGGAAGCCACCUGGUUGGAAGGGUGGUGACGGUAGUGGUAGAAGAAGCACCGGCUAACUACGUG